GCUGCCUGGGGCUUCCUACUCUGUUGGAUGAGAGGAGGUGAGAUCUCACUGUCAGAGGGGUGGAGGCCGGUCCCUGGAGAUGGCAGAGGGAAAAGAUGGCGGAAGGCAUCUUUUACAGCGGUUUUCCUGUAUGGUGGGUAUGGAACCUUUUCUCCACCCUUCAGUUCCACUUGUGAUGAUAUCUGUGUUACUCUUUGGUGUUUGGGGAAUUAGAUUUGUUUGGGGGUGCCGAAUGUAAAUUCAAGGUUGGCAUUGAGUGUGAAAAGAAGUGGCCAAAGGGGAUUGGAUCUUAGAUGUUCCCCAAAGACCCAUGUGUUAAAGGCACGAUUGCCAGCCUGUGGCCCUGGGGAGAGGGAGGACCUUUAGGAGGUGAGGCUUAGGGCAAGCAAGUUAGGCCACUGGGGCAGGCCACUGAAGGGACCCUGGUCCCCUCCUUUUUCCCUUCUUGCUUCCUGAUGGCUCUGAGGUGAAGAGACCUCCACCACACAUUUCUACCAUGAUGUGUUAUGCCACCACAGGACCUAAUAAUUGUGGACAGGAACCUCUAAAACUGUGUGUCCAAAUAAACCUUUCCUCCUCUAAGUUAGUUUAUCUCUGGUAUUUUGUUAUGGCAACAGAAAAGUGACUAACAUAGGGACCCUGCACAUAGUGAUAACCCUUUCCUAAAAAUGCAGUGACCUGCUUACUUAUGUAGAUCUCAUUCUUCACCUGAAGUAAAGUUGAAUUAUAUUGAGAGAACAGAUUAAUGUGGGUAUGGAUUCAUAUAGAAGCUGAUUGACAUAGACCUCUCCUUCUUCCUCCCUUGCUCCCGGAAAGAAAAGCUUAAGUUGUAUAACAAGACAAAUUAAAGGUAAAGAUAUAUGGGAUCUUGCCAAAUGGGGAGGAGGGGAAAGGAAAUACAGGUUUAGAGAAGCAGAAGAAGCCGUCCAUACCUCAAGACUGAUAUUCCUUUUAUCUAAAACACAGUGCCCCCCCCCCCAAAUUCAUGGCUAGAAGCAAGAACAUUUAAUUUGUUCCUGAGUUGGCAAUUUGGCCAGGUUCAGUGGGAACAGCAUGUGUCUCCCUCCACUCAGCUGAAGUUGUUGUAAGGCUGGGGCUGGGUCUGUUCUCCUCACUCACUCGCAUGUACUGGCUGUCGGCUGGGGCUGCCCAUGUGGCCUGGACUUCCUCUUCCCCAUGUGCCGGCUGGGGUCCCAGGAUGAGCAUCUUCCCAGGGGGAGAGGGCCAGGCAGAAGCUGAGACACCCUUUCCAACCCAGCCUGGAGAGUCGCGCUGCUUUACUUUGCACCUGUCCAUUGGCAGUGAGUCACCAAGUGCGUGUCUUCUCAGGCCGCGGUUAACAAACAGACUGGGUGGCUUAACCCAUGGAAUUUAUUUCCUGUUCUGAAGGCCACCAGACUGAGCCCACGAUGUUGGUGGGGCCUCUACCCUCAGUUUGAGGAUGGCCCUCCUCACCCCGUGUCUUCACAGGAUCUCCCCUCUGUCUGUCCGUGUCCUGCUGUCUCCUCCCUAUAAGAACAUGGAUCAGACGAGAUUUAGGGCCUACCCUAAAGACCUCGUCUAAACUGACCUCUUUCAAGGUCCUGUCUCCAAAUACAGUCACAUUCUGAAGUACUAGGGAUUAGGGUUUCAAUUUAGGAAUUCGGAAAAGGACACAACUGAGCCCAUGACAUCCAGCCCAGGCCAUAUUCAAAGGGAGAGGAAUAUUAAAGAAUCUGCACAAGUAUUUUAACACAACCACCACUGGGUAAGUGGCAGGGGUUUUGACAAGUCCUGUAUGUAGUUGACAGGUCCCUAGGCUCCACCCUCUGCCAGUACCCUUGAAAGGGUGUGGAAUCUCAGAGGUCAGUGGGAUAGUGGCUUUCAGGAAAGAUCCCUCAGCCCACAGGUGCGAGCAGCACAUGGUACUAUUCACUAACAGAAGGGCCACAGGUUUUAAAAAUCAGCAUUUGAGCCAUGAAGUGACUCAAAAAGACUCUUCUCCUGUUACCCAACCUCCAAAUAAGAUACUAGAUUCUGGCAUGAACGUAGGGGCUGGAAAGGCUCUCAGAAUCAUGACUGAGAUUGAAUUUCCCACCAACCUGAUGAGUGAGGGCUUAAGAGUUAGAUUUUAUUUAACUUGAAGUAAUGUGAUGUUCCUUCCAACUGAGCUGGGGACCAAGAACACGUGGGUUAUAGUAGAAAAGAAUUAUGUCGGCUUUUCACAUGAGAUAAUGCACUCAUCCAAAAACCAUUACAGUAAGAGUUAUCAGCUAACCUCCUCUAUUCUGACAGAUUCCAGCAGCUGCAGGAAUGGUGCAUUUCCCUGAAGAGUGACUGCCAUAGAUGACUCUAUUAGUCUGUUUUUCGUUGCUCUCACAAAAUACCUGAGCCUGAUUACUUAUAAGCAAAGAGGUUAAUUUAGCUCAUGGUUAUGGAGAGUCAAGAACAUGGCACCAGCAUCUGCUCGGCUCUGGUGAUGGUCACUGGGGCAGGACACUGAAGGGUCUCUGGUCCCUUCCUUUUUCCCUUCUUGCUUCCUGAUGGCUGUGAGGUGAAGAGACCUCCACCACCAUACACUUCUACCAUAAUGUACUGUGCCACCACAGACCCAAGGCAACAGGACCUAGUAACUGUGGACAAAAUCCUCUAAAACUGUAUGUCAAAAUAAACCUUCCUUCCUUUAAGUUAAUUUAUCUCUAUUUAUCUAUUUGUUAUAGCAAUAGAAAGUUGACUAACACAUGUUAUAGCCAGAGGCUAUAGCAUGGUUGCUGGAUGCCAUCAUAGUGGGAGGAUGUGUAAGAAGGAGAGAUCAUAUGGUGACAUGGGAGGCCAGAGACAUUCCAGCAAGCCUUGUUCUUUUUGUAACUCACUCUUGCAGGAACUAACUGAGGUCCUGUGAGAAUUACAUUCAUCGCUUCUGAGUAUUCACCUCAUGGUCCGAUUACCUUGCAUUAGGAUCCACCUCUUAGAGGUCUAACUGCCUUAACACUACCACAAUGAGGACCAAGCUUCCAAUGAAAUUUGGAGGAUACAUUCAAACCACAUCUGAACUUACAGCAGAGUAGUUUUUCAAAAAUCAAAUUAAGAUGUCAUUUUUAGCAUUCAAAUGAGUGGAGAAGUGGAGGACAGUUAGGGAGAGCUCACCCUGGGGAAGACCCCUGGGCAGGGUGGAUGUGUCCAUGUACCACUCACUCUCUUUCUGUCUUGCUCUCAAGUGUCCCACAGAACCGGUCACCUCUUUUCUAUACUUCUUGAAAUGCCACCAAUAAGCAAUUUAGUUAAACUGACACAUUCCCCCGGCAGGUUGAAGGGGUGAUCGUUUUGUUCAUUAAUUCUGUACCAGGACAUUUUGGUUGACUCAGGGACUCGUUAUCUGGUCCUUUAUUGGUUCGAGGGGCUUCAGUUUCAGCUGGUUAGAGGGUGUUGUGUUGAUGGAUGGGCUCAUUGGACCUACUUUCUUAGGAGCACAGAGACAAAACCUCCCCCUUCAUCUCUCAGGGGUUCAGAGUUUUGAUAUUUGUUUGUCCACCCAGAGUCACUUCACCAUGGUUGAUUUCAGAAAGUGUGAUACGGCCCAGAAAGAUGAUUCUCCAUGAGAGAAAAAGAUAUUGAACCAACGGUGAGAUGUGAGAAUGGAUGUUAUUCGGGGUCUACAGGAUGUAUUUCUAUUAUAUAUAUUUCCUCCUGUGGGUUGGGUCUGUGGCCCAACGGUUAUGGUACCACCUAGAGCAGGGGACCAACAUGACCUUCCACCCACUCUGGUAGCCUUGGGUCAAUUCCAAGUCUCUGGCCUUAGGACAAAUUGGAUUAGUAAAUACCAUCUGAAAUGAGUCACCUCAUUGCCUAUUCUUCUCCCGUCAUGCCAGUCUCCCUAAAGCAAAAUAUUAAUAAAUGCCACUACAUAAAAAUUAAAAUGUCUUUAUGGAAGGAAGCAAAUUCCACAAAGUCAAGAGACGAACAAUAAAGUGGUCGGUGAUAUUUGUGACACAUACAAUGGACAAAGAGUUAAUUUCCUUAUUUUACAAAGAGCUCAUACAAAUCGAUAUGAAUUAAAUAUGAAAAGGCCAAUUGAAAAAUGGGCAAAGGAUAUGAAAGGCAGUUUUUCAGAAAAACAAAUGCAAAUAUCUAAUAACUUUAUGAAAAGAAGUUUGACUUUCCUCAAAUUAAAGUCAUGCAAAUCCAGAUGACAUACCGCCAUGUUUCUGCUAUCAGAUGGGCGAAAGCUUAAAAAGUCUGUUAUCUUCAGUGUUGAUGAGUGAAGGAGAAAGCAGAUAUUCUCAUUCACAGUCAUUGUGCAGAGAACUGGAUAUAAUAUUUUAGCCAAGCAUUUUGAUAAAAUGGGUGAGUAUUUCUUAUCCCUUAUGCUUGGGACUAAAGUGUUCAAAUUUUAGAUCUUUUUUUCAUAUAUGGAAUAUUUGAAGAGACUUCUCUAUUGAGUGUUUCUAAUCUAAAAAUAUAAAGUCAGAAAAGCUCCAAAACCUGAAACUUUUGAACAUCAUGUUGAUGCUCAGAAGUUUCAGAUUUUGGAACAUUUUAUAUUAUUAUGUUGGGGUGUUUUAUUUAUAUCAAUCACGAUUGUAAAUUCAUACAUUCUUUGACCCAUGAGGAAGAGUGUAAAUCAUAAUGUACACUCAUGGACAUACAAUCUAACAGUAGAUAGGAGAAUACUCACCGCAGCAGUUUGAAAGGGGACAAUGGGAAAAGGUAUCAUUGGGGAUUUUUUUAUUAUAAUUACUGAAACAUCCUUAUGAUGGAAUAUUAUACAGUCACCAAAAGAAAGUACUAAACUACAUCCAAGCUAUUGAGGGAGAAAAGUAGUACAGAAUAGCAGGCACAAAACGGUCCCAUUUAUGUGAAUGAUAUACAGUACGUAUGCAUAAAACAUUUCUGGAAAUAUUUUUAAACAUGGGGAAUGGGGAGUCAAGAAGGGAAUAAGGCAAUUUUACUUUUUGUGACAUGUAUCUCUUUUAAAUUAACUUUUUUAUCAUUUGCAUAUUUUGCAUUUAUUUACUUAGUUUCUUUUUUUUUUUUUUUUUUUGGAACUCUUCCUGUAAUACACAGCCUGUUUACAUGAGUAUGCUCCAGGUGUACCUGUACUUACUGGGUAGGGUGUUGUGUUGUCUGGCAAAAGGUCUCCCUAAGUGGGACAACAUCAGGAAAUUGCUGGCCCAAUUUAGGAGCAUCAUGUGAGAUGUUGUGGGGAGAGGGGGCCCCGGGAAGCCGAGGUCCUCUCUGAACAAGGUGGAGCAUUGUUUUAGUUAGCUUUUUCAUUGCUAAGACCAAAACACCCAAUAAGAACAACUUAGAGGAGGAAAAAUCUGGUGCUCACAAUUUCAGAGGACUCAGCUCAUAGACGGCCGACUGCAUGGCUCUGGGCCCAAGUGAGGCAGCACAUCAUGGGGGACAGGCCUGGUGGAGGAAAACUGCUCAGCUCAUGGUGGGGCCAGGAAACAGAGAGGGAAUAGGACAGGGGCCACAGGGAAGGAGCACCCUUCCAGGGUACACUCCAGGGGCCCACCUCCCUAUAGCUAUCACCCAGUCAGUCCACUCAACCUUGGAUGGAUUGGUUAAAGUUACAACUCUUGCAACCUAAUCAUUUCACUUCUGAAUAUUUCUCUAUUAACAGGAUCUGUGGGGCCCCCCUCAUAUCCAGACCAUAAUGAACACAAGUCAGUGAACCAUCUGGAUUAGUACUGAAAUUUCUUGGUUUUUAUGGACUGGUGGGAUCUAGAAAAGCUUGGACCUCAAGGAUAAAAGUUAUCUCUCCAGCCCUCCAGUCACUGCCCAGUUCUGGUGAAAGUUUUAAGUAGAAUUGCUCCUAAACAAGCUGGGGCUGAAGAUAAAUAUGUUGUCCAUCAGUGGAAGGAAGCAGGACUUGGAAAAUAUUAGUUUGUGAGCACAAAACCCCAAAGAUAAAAGACCAGUUCUUGGAUUUUAUAGACAUCUUGGGAUUUAUUUUCUAAACAGUUGUGCUGGCCUGCACAGAGACAGGAUGAUUGGGUCUUGUAGUGAGAUUCUACAAGACGACAUCUCAGAAUGCAG
rnacentral:lncRNA from 1 species